rnacentral:rRNA from 1 species
UACGUAGGGGGCUAGCGUUGUCCGGAAUCAUUGGGCGUAAAGCGCGUGUAGGCGGUUUGGUAAGUCCGCUGUGAAAGUCGGGGGCUCAACCCUCGAAUGCCGGUGGAUACUGUCGAACUAGAGUGCGGAAGAGGCGAGUGGAAUUCCUGGUGUAGCGGUGAAAUGCGCAGAUAUCGGGAGGAACACCAGUGGCGAAGGCGGCACUCUGGGCCGGAACUGACGCUGAGGAGCGAAAGCGUGGGGAGCGAACAGG